GUGGCAGCCGCCGCGGCGGUAAUACGUAGGGUCCAAGCGUUAAUCGGAAUUACUGGGCGUAAAGCGUGCGCAGGCGGUUGUGCAAGACCGAUGUGAAAUCCCCGGGCUUAACCUGGGAAUUGCAUUGGUGACUGCACGGCUAGAGUGUGUCAGAGGGGGGUAGAAUUCCACGUGUAGCAGUGAAAUGCGUAGAGAUGUGGAGGAAUACCGAUGGCGAAGGCAGCCCCCUGGGAUAACACUGACGCUCAUGCACGAAAGCGUGGGGAGCAAACAGGAUUAGAUACCCUGGUAGUCCACGCCCUAAACGAUGUCAACUAGUUGUUGGGGAUUCAUUUCCUUAGUAACGUAGCUAACGCGUGAAGUUGACCGCCUGGGGAGUACGGUCGCAAGAUUAAAACUCAAAUGAAUUGGCGG
rnacentral:rRNA from 1 species